CCUCUACCAGCUGCUGGACCUGUAGCAAAGGCUGCCACAGAAGCCGUCCCUCGAAGGCCUGCAACUUUCCCUGUGUGUAUUUGUUUAUUGUAGUCAGGGUCUCACUCUGUCACCCAGGCUGGAGUGCAGUGGCCGGAUCAUGGCUCACUGCAGCCUCAGCCUCCUGGGCUUAGGCAGUCCUCCCACCUCAGCCUCCCAAGUAGCUGAAAUGAUUUACAGGCAUGCAUCACCACACUCGGGGAGUUUUUUUAUAGAGAUGGGGUUUCACCAUGUUGCCCAGGAGGGCCUCAACUCCUGAGGUCAGGUGAUCCACUCACGGCCCCAAGGGGCCGGGAUGGCCGGUGACACCGUGCCAGCCUCCUCUGUCAUCUCCAGUCUCAUUGCUAGUUUUUCUCGGCAGGGGCUGCUGGCCGGUCCCAGGGAUCUCACUGCCAUCGGGAGCUGCUGAGUGGUCAAGUGCACGUGAGUGACGUGGCCUGGAAGGCAGGAAGGAUGGCCCUACCCGGGCUGUCACGUGGCCUUCAGCACAGCCGAUGCCUUUACUCCCUUACUGGCGAGGAUGUGCAGCUGAGAGGGACCGUGACCUUCCCCGGGGCCUACAGCCCCAAAUGGCGGGCGAGGCGCUCAAUUCCAGGCGUGUCUGUGGGGUGCCCUCCCCGUGUGCAGGGGCCGCCAACCCUGUGUGAAUGUGAUCAUCACGAAGGGGACUGGUGAGAAGGCUGAGAAGCCUGGGCGCUGGUGGCCAUGAGCUCCUAAACUGUAAAUACAAAUAAUGUCCAGAGGGUUACAGUGUGCAUAGCGUAGAGGUGACAGUCCCAAUGUGUUGUAAUCUGAUCAAAUCACACCUGAGCUCUUCCGUCAGCAACGGGCACAAAGACACAGUUCUGGAGGCUGGUAUGUCGAGAUCAAGACUCCACGAGGUUUGGUGUCUGGUGAGGGCCCCCAUCUCUGCUUCUUCCAAAACAGCGCCUUGUGGCUGUGACCUCUGUGGCACAGGAGUGCUGUGUCCUCAUGGGGCAGAAAGGAUGGGAGGGUGGAAGCGGGCCAAACUCCUCCCGCCGAGCCCUUGGCAGCGGCAUCAACCUAUUCACGGGGCAGACCCCGGGAGACAAACACCUCCCAAGAGGCCCUGACUCCCAGCACGGUCACCCUGGAGAUUACGUUUCCAACACAUUCAGUCCGCAGCUGGACGUUUCUCCUUUGAAGUUUUCUUGAUUAGUGAAAAUAAAAUGGACUGAAAAUGGAUUCA
rnacentral:lncRNA from 13 species